AGGACAUGGAGAACAAGAUCCGUUCCACUCUCAACGAGAUCUACUUCGGCAAGACCAAGGACAUCGUCAACGGCCUGAGAUCUAUCGAAUCUCUCCCUGAUAAUCAAAAGUACCGUCAGCUGCAGCGGGAGCUCUCUCAGGUUCUGACCCAGCGUCAGAUCUACAUUGACUAGGGAGCGUUCAGAUGCUGGCGGAUAAAUCGAAGCAGGAGGCUCUGAAGAACGACCUGAUGCAAGUGCUUAGCCAACGCAGCAAA